GAGUAGGCCUCCCUGAAGCCUGAACCCGGCAGGCCCCAGCAAGCCAGGAAGGAGGCUGGCAGAGCUCCCUGCAGCAGACCCUCCAGCACAGCUUUUGCAAGCGGAUGAUAAAUUCAUAUCUUACACAGGCCUCCCCACAGACCUUCUUGGCUUUCUUAUGGCAAUGACUGUGGUAAUCAAUCAAGCUCCACUAAGAUGUAUAUUACACUGGCUUUGAAACAUUAUGCAGUUGUCUGUUCACGAUGCCAAGACUUUCUUCGUGCCAUUCUAGUCAACAGAGGAAGAAAGAGAGAGAGCUUUGACCCUGACUUAAGAAGAGACAAUGGAAACAGCACCCCGCAGCAAGUUAUCCUGUUGGAAGUGAAACUGAUAAGACCAGAAACUGUUUCCAAUCUGGUUUACUAAGCACUUGAUUGAGCUGAAUGGAAACAAGCGAAGAUGCUCUUUGCCACCCUGAAGUUUCUGCAGUUAUCCAACUACCAAAUGCUGGAUCAGAGCUCAUGGAGCAGCAGUGCUAAGAGAAAUGAUCUUAUCUACAUUGUCUUAGAAUUCAGUAGUCUGAUAGCUACUGUACAUUUCAGCUGUACAGUAAAGAUAAUAAAAGAUAGUUCACU